rnacentral:rRNA from 1 species
UACGGAAGAUGCGAGCGUUAUCCGGAUUUAUUGGGUUUAAAGGGUGCGUAGGCGGGCUUUUAAGUCAGCGGUAAAAAUUCGGGGCUCAACCCCGUCCGGCCGUUGAAACUGGGGGCCUUGAGUGGGCGAGAAGAAGGCGGAAUGCGUGGUGUAGCGGUGAAAUGCAUAGAUAUCACGCAGAACCCCGAUUGCGAAGGCAGCCUUCCGGCGCCCUACUGACGCUGAGGCACGAAAGUGCGGGGAUCGAACAGG